rnacentral:misc_RNA from 1 species
AACGGUCUAUACCUGCGGUACCUGCGGAAGGAUCAUUACCGAGUUAUACAACUCCCAAACCCACUGUGAACCUUACCUCAGUUGCCUCGGCGGGAACGCCCCGGCCGCCUGCCCCCGCGCCGGCGCCGGACCCAGGCGCCCGCCGCAGGGACCCCAAACUCUCUUGCAUUACGCCCAGCGGGCGGAAUUUCUUCUCUGAGUUGCACAAGCAAAAACAAAUGAAUCAAAACUUUCAACAAU